CCAAAGGCUCUUUUCAGAGCCCCCACUAUUUCAAAAGAAGAGCUGG
rfam:TPA: Bos taurus chromosome 23, whole genome shotgun sequence.